rnacentral:rRNA from 1 species
UAACCUGCCCAAGAGAUCGGGAUAACACCUGGAAACAGAUGCUAAUACCGGAUAACAACAGAUGAUGCCUAUCAACUGUUUAAAAGAUGGUUCUGCUAUCACUCUUGGAUGGACCUGCGGUGCAUUAGCUAGUUGGUAGGGUAACGGCCUACCAAGGCGAUGAUGCAUAGCCUAGUUGAGAGACUGAUCGGCCACAUUGGGACUGAGACACGGCCCAAACUCCUACGGGAGGCAGCAGCC